GGAAACAUAACACUACACACUGCUGAACGCUUCUUUUUGAAAUUUGUGUUUCAGUUCUAAUGUUCAUCAACUAUAUGUAUAUAUUAUACAUGUGUGUGCCUUCUUAUAUGUAAUUGGAAAAUGUUAUACUUUAAAUCUGUGUAUAACUUGGUGAUGCAGGCUCUGGUGUGAAAAGGCUAAUAUAAGAGAAACACCAACUAUUCCAACAAAGAAUCCACCUUUACAAUACGCUGACUAAGGUCAUCCUAGCCACGCCUGAACACUCUCAGCACUUUCCUCUUUCACCUAGACUAUGUUUAACAAGGCAGGGCUCUUGUAAGGUGCCUCUAGCCUGCCUUGUGUGCGUCAGCCCUUCCAUUCUGAGCCCUGCCCUUCUGUGCCCCUCCCCCCCUUUAGCAAGUUGAAUUGUGUCUUCUAGUGAUACGUCUUGUGGCAAUGACUGACUUCUAGCUGGUGUACCUCAGGAGCUGCAAGGCCUUCUGGGAGAAGACUCACUAGCUGGUCCAGUUCACCAUUAGGCACCUUAUUAGACAGUCCUACUGUUUCUGCUGCAUAAUCUUUCCAAAUAGCUAACGUGAGAAGCAUUGUCCCUGCUCGGGCUGGAAUGCAUGUGGUGUGGCUAUGCAGCUGAAGCUUAAAGCUCAGAUUUCAAUGGUUUGAACCUCUACGUGAGCACUUUACUACUGAGCUACACCACAGGCUUGCUGUGGUUUUCCCUACAGGAGAGGUAAGUAAUCCGGGUGAAGGGUCAGAAAAUGUUUUCAGAAGGGAGGUUGGAGAUAAAAAUAGUGUCUAUAAACAACUUGGGGUCUCACCACUGGUUCAGUGUCUCUGAGUCCAUUGCUUUCCAAUGGAGCAGUCAAGGGCUGGUGACACCUAUCCCCAGGCUUUUAGGAGGGAUGUCCUACAUGGACAAAACAGGUAUGGACAAAACAGGUAUGGACAAAACAGGUAUGUCUACUUAGUAAAUGCUUCUUUCCCCGUGUUUUCUAAAUCCCUUCAUUUUGAGCGCAAAACUAAUCAUGCACAUUUGUUGAUGGCAAACAUUUAAUCUCUUCGCAUAAUGAGCAAAUACUGGAAAAUUAACGUCCAGAAGGAACUACACGGGCCACGAAGACAUUUCCUUUAGGCCACCCUCAUCAGCUCUUGUCUUUAUUGCAGGGAUUAAAAACUGUCAGGUAUCCAGGUGCAACCCAGGAGUCCCCUUGAACAGUUUUCAAUCCUGUCUUCCACCUCAGUAGCUGAGAAUAGCAAGGAGGGGCGGAGGCAGGUGCAGGUGCAAAGGACUUCCCAACAGUGUGGAGUUUCCCUUGGCAAAGGCCAUCAACCGGCUUUGAGUCACAUUUCUGGGCAACAGACACUGACAUUGUUUUCCUGUGGACAGACUUGUCACCUAGACAAUUUUUUGAAAUUCCUUCAUGUUUCAAAUCUAUGUGAAUGCUUUUAGGCAGCCCUUCAUGGGUGGUGCUCACUGUUAGAUAUUUAAAAAAAUAAAACAAUUCACAAAGA